GAUGAACGCUGGCGGCGUGCCUAAUACAUGCAAGUCGAGCGAAUGGAUUAAGAGCUUGCUCUUAUGAAGUUAGCGGCGGACGGGUGAGUAACACGUGGGUAACCUGCCCAUAAGACUGGGAUAACUCCGGGAAACCGGGGCUAAUACCGGAUAACAUUUUGAACCGCAUGGUUCGAAAUUGAAAGGCGGCUUCGGCUGUCACUUAUGGAUGGACCCGCGUCGCAUUAGCUAGUUGGUGAGGUAACGGCUCACCAAGGCAACGAUGCGUAGCCGACCUGAUAGGGUGAUCGGCCACACUGGGACUUGGACACGGCCCAGACGCCUACGGGAGGGAGCAGUAGGGAAUCUUCCGCAAUGGACGAAAGUCUGACGGAGCAACGCCGCGUGAGUGAUGAAGGCUUUCGGGUCGUAAAACUCUGUUGUUAGGGAAGAACAAGUGCUAGUUGAAUAAGCUGGAACCUUGACGGUACCUAACCAGAAAGCCACGGCUAACUACGUGCCAGCCGCCGCGGUAA
rnacentral:rRNA from 1 species